UUGUUUUUUUUUGGUCGUGUGUGUGUGUGUGUGUGUGUGUGUGUGUGUGUGUGUGUGUGUGUGUGUGUGUGUGUGUGUGUGUGUGUGUUUCCCCCGCCGCCCCCAUUCUUUCCUUCUUUCUGGAGACGGAAUCUCGCUCUGUCGCCCAGGCUGGAGCUGGAGCGCGGUGGUGCCUCCUCGGCUCGGCGCCGCCGCUGCCUCCAGGGCUCUCAAGCGAACAGCAGUUUUUGUAUUUUGAGCGAAGACGGAAUUUCACCAUAUUGGCCGGGCUGGUCUCGGACUCCUGACCUAGCGAUUCCCCCCACCCCUCCCCCUCCCCCGCCUCGGCCUCCCAAAACGUGCCGGGAGUACGGGUGUCGGCCACCGCGCCCGGCCGAUUCCUUCUUGUUUUCAAUCUUCUUUUCUGCACGCUGCUGUGUGUGAGCAUACGUAUAUCUAUCUAGAUAGAUAGAUACGUAGAUAUGGACACACGGACACGUACCUACACCGACGAAAAUAUCUAGUGAUAAAACUAGACAUUUCCAUCAUUCAUACAUGUGUAUAGGAUAGAUGUUAAUUUUAAUGGAUGAACGUGUAUGACGUAAAAACCCAUGUCAUUUACAUAGACCUGUAUAUGUAUAUCCUUCGUUUAUUAUGGAUUAACAAUGUUCGUGUAUUUAUUUUCUUUUCUUUUGGGGCCUGCCUGAUCUUCUCACUCUGGGCUCUGGUGACCUCAGGCUCCCAAGUAGCUGGGAUGGGACUACAGGGAUCUCUUAAGCCCGGGAGGCAGAGGCGAACGUGGGCUGUGAUCGCGCGCCUCCACUCCACCUGGGCUGGGCUGGGCUGGAGAGAAAACGGUGGAUUGUCAUCUUCAUUACCUUACCUUUUAGCUUUAUUCGUACCCUCUUAUUUGCUUCUUUAUUCUCAUGGGUUAUUCUAGGUCGUUGUCAUGUUCAUCGUUUGCUUGCUUGUUUCAUUGGUUUCCUGCCUUCCCUGCCUUCCCGGCGGGGUCUUCCUCUGCCUCUGUCGCCCGGGAUCACCCCAGCCUCGACGAUUUCGACCGAGCGGCCGUCCCGCGUCUCAUCCCUCCCGUCCCCGUUCCCUGGGACUACGGGUGUGCACCACCACACCGGGUGUCGUCUCACACGUCGAGGUGAUCUCAAACGUCUACGCUCCGGCCAUCCUUCCACGUCGGCCUCCCGGAGUGCUGGGAUGACACGCGUGGGCACGACGGAGUUUCACUCUUGUCGCCCAGGGUGGACUACGAUGGCGUGAUCUCGGCUCGCUGCGACCUCCGCCUCCCGGGUUCGAGUGAUCCUCCUGCCUUGGCCUUCCCGAGGAGCUGGAAUGACGGGGAAGCGCCAUCGUGCCCGGCUGACUUUUAUAUUUUUAGUACAGAUGGGGUUUCUCCGUCUUGGUCAGCCUGGUCUUGAGCUUCCGACCGUUGGACGAUUUUAACUUUCUUGGUGGUUGCUUUUCUUUUUCUUUUUUUCUUUUCUUUUCUUUCCUUCUCCUCCCCCCACCCACUCCCCCUGUCCUCCUCGUCCUCCUCGUCCUCGUCCUCCUCCUCCUCCUCCUUUUUCAUCUCUUUCAGCUGGGCUCUCCUACUUGUGUUGCUCAGUUGCUCACGCUGGUCUCCAACUCCUGCCCUUGACGCUUCUCCCCUCACACCCACCGUCUGGUUGUUGAGAUGCGCACCUCUUGUAAAAUGGAAAAGAUGAAAAAAAUAAAAGACGGAGGUGAAAA